rnacentral:rRNA from 1 species
GUGUGCUCGGAUCUGGUGAAGGGCGCCAAGGAGAAGCAGCUCAAGGUCAAGGGCCCCGUCAGGAUGCCCACCAAGGUGCUCAACAUCACCACCAGGAAGUCCCCCUGCGGAGAAGGGACCAACACCUGGGAUCGGUUUGAGAUGCGGGUGCACAAGAGGGUGAUCGACCUCGUCAGCUCCCCAGACGUCGUCAAGCAGAUCACCUCUAUCACCAUCGAGCCCGGCGUCGAGGUCGAAGUGACCAUCAGCGACCAGUAG